AGAGAAUAGAUACCCUGGUAGUCCACGCCGUAAACGAUGAGCACUAGUUAUUGGGGGUAUCGACUCCCUCAGUGACGCAGCUAACGCAUUAAGUGCUCCGCCUGGGGAGUACGGUCGCAAGACUAAAACUCAAACAAAUUGACGGGGGCCCGCACAAGCGGUGGAUUAUGUGGUUUAAUUCGAAGCAACGCGCAGAACCUUACCUAGGCUUGAACUCCUACGAACCUCUUGUAAUGGAGAGGGUGUCCGCAAGGAAAUGUAGUGAGAGGUGCUGCAUGGCUGUCGUCAGCUCGUGUUGUGAAAUGUUGGGUUAAGUCUCGCAACGAGCGCAACCCCUAUCGUCUGUUGCCAGCAUUAAGUUGGGCACUCUGACGAGACUGCCUGGGUUAACCAGGAGGAAGGUGGGGAUGACGUCAAGUCCUCAUGGCCCUUAUGUCUAGGGCUACACACGUAAUACAAUGGCGCGUACAGAGGGAAGCGAACUAGCAAUAGGGAGCAAAUCUCAAAAAGCGCGCCUCAGUUCGGAUU
rnacentral:rRNA from 1 species